rnacentral:rRNA from 1 species
UGGGGAAUUUUGGACAAUGGGCGCAAGCCUGAUCCAGCCAUGCCGCGUGCAGGAUGAAGGCCCUCGGGUUGUAAACUGCUUUUGUACGGAACGAAAAGCCUCUUUCUAAUAAAGAGGGGUGAUGACGGUACCGUAAGAAUAAGCACCGGCUAACUACGUGCCAGCAGCCGCGGUAAUACGUAGGGUGCGCGCGUUAAUCGGAAUUACUGGGCGUAAAGCGUGCGCAGGCGGUCUUGCAAGGCAGUGGUGAAAUCCCCGGGCUCAACCUGGGAACUGCCAUCGUGACUGCAACGCUGGAGUACGGCAGAUGGGGAUGGAAGUCCGCGUGUAGCAGUGAAAUGCGUAGAUAUGCGGAGGAACACCGAUGGCGAAGGCAGUCCCCUGGGCCUGUACUGACGCUCAUGCACGAAAGCGUGGGGAGCAAACA